AGAUAAAUGAGAAUGAGUCACACUGGUGAUUCUGUCACCAGAAGGGUGGCCUCAGAGGAGGAGUUACCUGCAUCCAGGGCCCAGAGAACAGCAUCCAUCAGAGUGACUCCAGGCAGAGAACUUGACAUAGGGAGGCUGGAAAAUGAGCCCAAGCUCUAAUCUCCACUAUCAGGCAAGGCUGGAACUGGACAGCAGUAUUACCAGGCUGUAGGAGUCACAGUGGCCCCCAGACAAGGACACGUCAGCGUCUUUGAAGUGCCCUGGCUGGCAGAGCUCCCUGCUAUUGUGGGGCUGGGUGGCUCUCUCCUCGCAGCUCCUGGAAUGACAAGCUUGCAGGAGGCCCUGGCGGCCUUGGCAGCCGGGCCAAUGUUUAGACAGUUUCUUCUGCUGUUUGAAUAAGAGCCUCAGCGGGAUUGCAUCUCUGCUUCACCUCCUCUUCUGUGGCCGGAGGAUGGGCCGCCCAGCAUCCGGAGCUGCCUGUAAAGUUCCUCUCAGCGCCUGCAGAAGCUUUGUAGAGGUGCAGCUGACUGUGAUCAGGGGCUUUAUUUGUCUGUGGAAUCUGGGAGCCAGUGGGAGCCAGUGUGAGAAAGGCGAGGUGUACAAGCCUGCCGUCGGAAGUGUUCCAAUCCAAGUUUCUGGAAUUUCAAGCUGCAUGGCAUUAGCUUCUUUUCCCUUGAACUGAUUCGUGGGAGACGACUUGAGCGAAACCCAAAAAACCCAUGUUCAGACCUGAUGCUAAGGGGCUGAAUGACGCUGGACAGAACAUAAUACCUUGGGUCCUCAAUUUUGUGAUGAUGGUUAAAUGAGUGAUUCUCAAACCAGUUCUGACAUCUUGAAAAGGUGCUUCUGACUUCACAGUUACCAUGUAAUUAGAGCUUUGAAAUGACAGUGCAGUGAACUCUCCUUGAUAUUCCCCUAAGCCUCUACAUUGAAUGGUGAUGAGGAUCCUAUUUGGAAGCUUUCAAUGGUGUCUUCUCCAGGGGAAAAGGUGAAGAAUAUUUUGUAAGCGACACUGUCUUUUCAAUUUUUACCUCCUGAUUUUGAGCACGGCGAUUCUACUAAGCUGUGUUUUCUUUUCCCUGUGAAAAUGGUUUUGUGAGAAAAUGUAACCAGUGCAAUUAUACUGAACUUUCAUAAGAUGAAACGUUAAUAAAAUGAAUGUUUGACCAAUAAAAUACUUGAUG
rnacentral:lncRNA from 12 species